AAAGGAAUUGACGGGGACCCGCACAAGUGGUGGAGCGUGUUCUUUAAUUCGAUGAUAAGCGAAGAACCUUACCAGGGCUUGACAUCCUUGGAAUUUCUCCGAAAGGAGAAAGUACUUUAUUGGACCAAGUGACAGGUGUUGCAUGGCCGUCGUCAGCUCGUGUCGUGAGAUGUUUGGUUAAGUCCAUUAACGAGCGCAACCCUUAUGAUUAGUUGGAUUUUUCUAAUCAGACUGCCUCGGUAACGGGGAGGAAGGAGGGGAUGAUGUCAGGUCAUUAUUACCCUUACGUCCUGGGCUAGAAACGCGCUACAAUGGCCGGUACAAAGGGCAGCCAACCCGCGAGGGGGAGCAAAUCCCAUCAAAACCGGUCCCAGUUCGGAUUGCAGGCUGAAACUCGCCUGCAUGAAGCCGGAAUCACUAGUAAUCGUAGGUCAGCACACUACGGUGAAUACGUUCCCGGGUCUUGUACACACCGCCCGU
rnacentral:rRNA from 1 species